rnacentral:lncRNA from 1 species
AUUUUAUUACCGGAUCUGAAUGUAUUUAUGUAAACUAUUUUUUGACUCAUCACAGAGGAUACACAAGGCCUCAAACAUUUUCUUAUCAUUUGAUUUGAAUACAUUUUUGUAAACUAAUUUUUGACAGCAAAGAGGAUACACAAAAUAUCACACUUUACUUUUGAAAAUCAAUUUAAGUGAAACUGGUUAAGUUAAUAAAUACUUUUAAAAGACUCCUGCAUUUUCAGAUUCUUUUCGUUAUGCAUAUAUAUAUAUACAUACAUAAUACAUACAUUCAUAUAUAUAUAUAUACAUGUAUAUAUAUAUAUAUAUAUAUAUAUAUAUAUGUAUAUAUGUACAUAUAUAUAUAUACAUAUAUAUAUAUGUACAUAUAUAUAUAUACAUAUAUAUAUAUAUGUAUAUAUAUAUGCAUGCAUAUAUAUAUAUAUAUAUGCACAUAUAUAUGCAUGCAUGCAUACAUACAUACAUACAUACAUACAUACAUACAUACAUACAUACAUACAUACAUAUCAGUGAAGAAAAAGGAAAAUAUUGAAUUUCCAAAGACGAAAGACUGUUGUUUGUUAAAGAUUUCUGUUUUCAAAUCAAGUUAAUAUAUGAAUAUAAUUUUAAUAAAGAUGAUUGUUAAAUUUUC